AGUGAACGCUGGCGGUAGGCCUAACACAUGCAAGUCGAACGGCAGCACAGUAAGAGCUUGCUCUUACGGGUGGCGAGUGGCGGACGGGUGAGGAAUAGAUAGGAAUCUACUUUUUCGUGGGGGAUAACGUAGGAAAACUUACGCUAAUACAGCAUACGACCUACGGGUGAAUGCAGGGGAUCUUGGGAACUUGCGCGUUUGAUUGAGCCGAUGCCGGUUUAUCGAGUUGGCGGGGUAAAGGCCCACCAAGGCGACGAUCCGUAGCCGGUCUGAGAGGAUGAUCAGCCACACUGGAACUGAGACACGGUCCAGACUCCUACGGGAGGCAGCAGUGGGGAAUAUUGCACAAUGGGCGCAAGCCUGAUCCAGCCACACCGCGUGGGUGAAGAAGGCCUUCGGGUUGUAAAGCCCUGUUGUUGGGAAAGAAAAGCAGCAGGAUAAAACCCCGCUGUUCUGACGGUACCCAAAGAAUAAGCACCGGCUAACUUCGUG
rnacentral:rRNA from 1 species